GUCCCUGUGGCGCUAUGGAUAGCGCGUUGAUCUUCGGAUUCAAAGGUAGUGGGUUCGAAUCCUAUCUGAGAUG